UUUUUUAUUUAAAAAAGUGUAUAUAAAAUGCUGAAAGGAUACCAGGACGGGAACAUCCGAAAUUACGACCGCAGGCCAUGGCUGCCCAAACCUAUUCCUGGAUUGCUACUGUCCUGUCUGUUGUGGUAUAUGUCCCUCCUGGUCCUCUGAUCCAUGUUGAAGGCUAACGUGUGGCAGUGCCCUGUGAAGUCAAAGAUGACAUGAAUCCCAGAGAGCAGGGUCAACGUAGUAAGGCUACACUGUAAUUUUUUCGAAAUUUUACAGUAAUUUACUUUAUAUUUUGUAUGUAAUUCUCUGUAUUUCAGAAUGACAGUAACAUUAUAAAUUACACAUUAAAACCUUCAUUUAACAUUUGUCUGGUAAAAUAAUUGGAAAAGUCUGUUAUCAGAUUCACAGUUUACCAAAAAACCUGUAUAAAUACAGAGUAUUUCUGUUUUAUUAUUGAUAUCCCAGUAUGCUUUGGGGCAGUACAUUUUGUUAAUAUUUAUGUUUGUUGUAAUAAUAUGAAGGUGACCUAGCUUUGGGUUUUUUUGCCAUCUUGUUCUCUAUGUACAGUAUUAACCUUUGGAAUGUUUUUUGUGGAUUAUGGUCAUGUUUGUGUGCCAACCAUAGAAAAGAAGAUGAUUCUAUUUGGUGUGAUUUGCUGCUUUAUAUUAAAUUCUUUGGAGCUUUGACUCUUGCACAUUUCAGCCAACACCGGGUC